rnacentral:rRNA from 1 species
GACGAACGCUGGCGGCGUGCUUAACACAUGCAAGUCGAACGGAAAGGCCCUGCUUUUGUGGGGUGCUCGAGUGGCGAACGGGUGAGUAACACGUGAGUAACCUGCCCUUGACUUUGGGAUAACUUCAGGAAACUGGGGCUAAUACCGGAUAGGAGCUCCUGCUGCAUGGUGGGGGUUGGAAAGUUUCGGCGGUUGGGGAUGGACUCGCGGCUUACCGGCUUGUUGGUGGGGUAGUGGCUGACCAAGGCUUUGACGGGUAGCCGGCCUGGGAGGGUGACCGGCGACAUGGGGCCUGAGGUGAGGCCCAGGUUGCGACGGUUCGCAACGGUGGGAAAGCUUGCACAAUGGACGGAGGCCUGGUGCAGCAGCGCUGCGUGUGGGAAGACGGUCUUCGGGUGGUAAACCGCUUUCGCAUGUAACGGAGCGUGAGUGACGGUAAUGGGUAAAGAAGCCCCGGCUAACUACGUG